AAGCCCCGUCAUGAGGAAAGUCCGGGCUCCGCAGGGCAAGGAUAACGGGUAACGCCCGCCGAAGGCGACUUCAGGAAAAGUGCAACAGAAAUAAACCGCGGAUUGUGUAUGAUCCGUAAGGGUGGAAAGGCGAGGUAAGAGCUCACCCAUCGGCUGGAGACUGUCCGAUGCUGUAAACUCUAUCCGGAGCAACACCGUGGAGAGAACGCAGAUCAUGCGGCAGCCGCGUUGAGCGGCCGCCCGCGAUCAGACUGGCCCGGUUGUUCUCGAGGAGGUGGCUGGAGCGGUCUGGCAACAGGCCGCCUAGAUAGAUGACUGUCAAAUACAGAACCCGGCUUACAGUCUUACUCAUUGA
rnacentral:RNase_P_RNA from 1 species